AUCAAGUAAGAAGACAUCUGUGUUGCACGGCAAUUUUUUGCUAUUUUAUGCUGUUGUGUCCUGCCUUGGUUGCACCAGAUUGUUGUGGUCUGCACAAGCGCAGAGAACUUCCCUUUUUUCCUGAUUACACACAGACAGUUGGUUGUUAUCCCAAAGACUCAGAUUCCAAACAAAUAUUGUAUGUAAUUAUUAUCCCUGUUUUCUUGGCAACAAUCCUAAUGGACCGAGAGCCACUGAGAGCUAAAGUAGAGGUCAUACCGGGGGUAAAGACAGACGGAGCAGCACAGAGGAACAGGAAAACACUGAGUCAUGGUUUUCUUACGGACUAGUUAAGAGCUUAAAGGGUGUUUAUCCAAGAAAUGAAACUUAGCCUUUGUUGCUUUAUUGCACCUAACAGUUCCUCAUGUUCAACUGGUACAACUGGUUAUACGUUAUAUAUGUUGUGUUUGACACCCUUUAUCAUGUGAGCACUUUCGUUUCUGAUAGGUAAGCGCACUUAGGUGUCGGUCUCCGGCAGCAUAAAUAGGCUGCAGGUCGCCGCUACUCUUACUGAUAGACGAAGAACUGAAGAGAUGGAUCCAAAAAGGUUUCAUGCAGAGCCCGGAGACCUGAUCGAGAUCUUCCGUGGGAAGUAUCAGCACUGGGCCAUCUACAUCGGUGGAAUGGAAGUUGUUCAUUUGACUACUCCAACUGAGUGAAAUGUUGCAUUUACUACAUUCAUCUUGGAAGACCAUCUAUAACCUUUUGCCUGUCACUCUCCUUAGUUAUAGUUUGUUGAUGAUGAUUCAAGCUCUUCUGGUUCUUCGUUGAUGGUCCUGGACAGCCCCAUAGGACAGGUGAA